rnacentral:lncRNA from 1 species
UGCGCAUUUCGACAAUACAUGUCUCUUCAGUGAUGCUCGUGGCCAAAAUAUUUAAAAUCCAAAGCUUAUAUAAAAGAUGAAGAGCUAUAAUCCAAAAGGUCAAAAAAAGUAUAGCCAAAUCCGUGAAAGGAAUCAGAGCUUUGCAUGAGGGAGAUACAUUCCUUAAUUUAUAAUAAUUUCUAUCAUUUUGUAACAGUAAAUUUUAAUAACACAAAAAAAUCCGUAUUUUCAUGCCAGUACCGAAGUACUGGCUACUGGGGUGGUGAUACCCUCGGGGACUAAUAGUCCACCAGCAGAGGCAUCGACCCAGUGGUAGUAAUAAAAUUAACGGUACUAAUUUUCUUGCACCAGAUGCGCAUUUCGACAAUACAUGUCUCUUCAGUGAUGCUCGUGGCCAAAA